rnacentral:rRNA from 1 species
ACGAACGCUGGCGGCGUGGAUAAGACAUGCAAGUCGAACGAGAGAAUUGCUAGCUUGCUAAUAAUUCUCUAGUGGCGCACGGGUGAGUAACACGUGAGUAACCUGCCCCCGAGAGCGGGAUAGCCCUGGGAAACUGGGAUUAAUACCGCAUAGUAUCGAAAGAUUAAAGCAGCAAUGCGCUUGGGGAUGGGCUCGCGGCCUAUUAGUUAGUUGGUGAGGUAACGGCUCACCAAGGCGAUGACGGGUAGCCGGUCUGAGAGGAUGUCCGGCCACACUGGAACUGAGACACGGUCCAGACACCUACGGGUGGCAGCAGUCGAGAAUCAUUCACAAUGGGGGAAACCCUGAUGGUGUGACGCCGCGUGGGGGAAUGAAGGUCUUCGGAUUGUAAACCCCUGUCAUGUGGGAGCAAAUUAAAAAGAUAGUACCACAAGAGGAAGAGACGGCUAACUCUGUGCCAGCAGCCGCGGUAAUACAGAGGUCUCAAGCGUUGUUCGGAAUCACUGGGCGUAAAGCGUGCGUAGGCUGUUUCGUAAGUCGUGUGUGAAAGGCGCGGGCUCAACCCGCGGACGGCACAUGAUACUGCGAGACUAGAGUAAUGGAGGGGGAACCGGAAUUCUCGGUGUAGCAGUGAAAUGCGUAGAUAUCGAGAGGAACACUCGUGGCGAAGGCGGGUUCCUGGACAUUAACUGACGCUGAGGCACGAAGGCCAGGGGAGCGAAAGGGAUUAGAUACCCCUGUAGUCCUGACAGUAAACGGUGCACGCUUGGUGUGCGGGGAAUCGACCCCCUGCGUGCCGGAGCUAACGCGUUAAGCGUGCCGCCUGGGGAGUACGGUCGCAAGAUUAAAACUCAAAGAAAUUGACGGGGACCCGCACAAGCGGUGGAGUAUGUGGCUUAAUUCGAUGCAACGCGAAGAACCUUACCUGGGCUUGACAUGUAAUGAACAACAUGUGAAAGCAUGCGACUCUUCGGAGGUGUUACACAGGUGCUGCAUGGCCGUCGUCAGCUCGUGUCGUGAGAUGUUUGGUUAAGUCCAGCAACGAGCGCAACCCCUGUUGCCAGUUACCAGCACGUGAAGGUGGGGACUCUGGCGAGACUGCCCAGAUCAACUGGGAGGAAGGUGGGGACGACGUCAGGUCAGUAUGGCCCUUAUGCCCAGGGCUGCACACGUACUACAAUGCCCAGUACAGAGGGGGCCGAAGCCGCGAGGCGGAGGAAAUCCUGAAAACUGGGCCCAGUUCGGACUGUAGGCUGCAACCCGCCUACACGAAGCCGGAAUCGCUAGUAAUGGCGCAUCAGCUACGGCGCCGUGAAUACGUUCCCGGGUCUUGUACACACCGCCCGUCACAUCAUGGAAGCCGGUCGCACCCGAAGUAUCUGAAGCCAACCGCAAGGAGGCAGGGUCCUAAGGUGAGACUGGUAACUGGGAUG